rnacentral:lncRNA from 1 species
UGGUCAUUUUGACUAUAUUAAUUCUGCCUAUCCCAGAUCAUGGGAGACCUUUCCAUCUUCUAAGAUCUUCUUCAGUUCUGAGUGCAUGUAGGGUCAAAUCAACUAAUUUUGAAAAAAAAAAGUGUGGACCGUGGUAUGUAUCACAGAAACGUUGGAAGUGAAAGGUCCCCACAAGGAAUAGAAUUUUCCUGUUUCCCCACACCUCUCUCCCCCACACACAUUCAAACAUACACACAGGGUCCAUCCAGAAAACAGUGACCACUUCUCCUAUUCACCACACAGGAAGUUGAUGCGGGGACUUGGUUAUGUCGGUGAUGGAGGAGAGGACGGGCAGGUGUGGUGGACUGCAAACAUAGCCCCAGAUGAUUCGUCUCCUGCCAACCAAUGGAGCUAAUUUCUUUACUCUUGAAUCUGGGCAACUCUUACGACUUCCUUUGGGAGGAAGUGAUAUGGUACAAGUUCCAAGCUUGGGCUUCGAGAGAUUUUUUUUUCUUAGAACCAACUGAAUAUGCCUGGGCCAGAGGGUUGAAUUAUGAGAGAUGACAUGGACCCGCCAAAGCAGGACCCCUGCUGCAGACUUGGCAGCUGACUGCAGGUGCCUGGGCAGGCCUAGCUAAGAGCAGAGUCGAAGACUUGUCCAGAUGAUCCCAGCCCUAAAUUGCUACCUUACAGACUGUGAGCCACAAACAAACGGUUGCUCUAAACCAUUAUACGUUGGGGUAGUUUGUUUCAUAGCAAAAGCAAACGAACACAGGAAAUUCCAGAGAUUUAGCAAUGACAGAGAGCUACUAUUGCUCUCUUGGGUUACAGAGACAAAGAGGAAGCAAUAAAACUGGAUCCCAGUGUAAUCAGAAUAAAAAAGAGGAAUGAGGGAUGGAGUGUCCCAUGGAGGAUUGGAGGGGUGGAGGAGAUGGAGGGGAGGCUGGUGACUGAAGCAAGGACAGGAAGAAGUACCUUGGCUUCUCCCUUCCAUCUGUCUUCCAAUCUCCCUCCAGCAAUUGCCAUCAGGAAAGCUCAGCUGGGAACCAGUUGGACCAGAAGAAGCCUGGAGAACUAGCAACCAGGAGUCAGCUUCUCUUUGCAACACAGAGCAGAGCUGGGAAAGGGCUGGGAAUGGAUCCAAGUGCAGACAGGCUCAGGACCAGGACUGCAUCCAUUAGGAGACAGCAAAGUAGGUGAGACUAUUGGUGGAACUUUCCAAAAAAGCAAAUCCAUAUUUUAUUCCCUACUCAUGAAUUCAAUCCAAAUUAAAAAAAAAUGGGUUCUAGUUAUUGGAAAACUGUGGUUGCUCGUGUUUCAACUUUUGAAAAAAAAUGUCCAAUGAAGCCCCAGGGGCCUAUUUAUAAAAUGUCACACACGCCACGGCUCAUCAAAAACACGAGCCAUCAAAACACAGCCUCAGUGAUGCUAUCACUGGGUCAAACUGACGAAAAACACCAAGUGGAUUAAUUUUAAUUCUUUCGGCCAGCAUCCAAACCUUCAUGCAUGCCGGCCAAGCACAAAGUAGGUGGCACCCCAGAUGUGCGCACAUGAAC